rnacentral:rRNA from 1 species
CAGUAGUCACGAGUUUGAUCCUGGCUACAGAACGAACGCUGGCGGCAUGCCUAACACAUGCAAGUCGAACGAGACCUUCGGGUCUAGUGGCGCACGGGUGCGUAACGCGUGGGAACCUGCCUUUAGGUUCGGAAUAACUCAGAGAAAUUUGAGCUAAUACCAUAUAAUGUCUUCGGACCAAAGAUUUAUCGCCCUGAGAUAAGCCCGCGUAGGAUUAGCUAGUUGGUGAGGUAAAGGCUCACCAAGGCGACGAUCCUUAGCUGGUCUGAGAGGAUGAUCAGCCACACUGGGACUGAGACACGGCCCAGACUCCUACGGGAGGCAGCAGUGGGGAAUAUUGGACAAUGGGCGAAAGCCUGAUCCAGCAAUGCCGCGUGAGUGAUGAAGGCCUUCGGGUUGUAAAGCUCUUUUACUCGGGACGAUAAUGACGGUACCGAGAGAAUAAGCCCCGGCUAACUCCGUG